rnacentral:tRNA from 1 species
GCCGAGAUGGUGGAAUUGGUAGACACGACAGACUUAAAAUCUGUUGACCAUUUAGUUGUGCGGGUUCGAGUCCCGUUCUCGGUAC